CCAUUUAGGAUUCGACCUUCAGCCUGGCUGGGGUUUCUCUGAGAAAUGUAGGCUGAAGACCAGAAGCUCUUCAGGAAUCUUGCAGGAUUCUAGUGCCAGAUUGGGGCUGCUGAGACAUCCAACAUCAUUGACUAGACAACUACCAGAUUCCUGCUGUCAUGAGACUGUCAUUGGCUGUAUUGGGACCACAUCCUACCUUCAAAUUCACAAGGCCUUCUUCCUGUGGCUGAGAGAAGAAAGCUCACUGGCGCCAGCAAUGUCAUAUUACAGAGUGAGGUGACGCUGUUCAUCGUGACUUGAUUUUAUCAUCUUGCUGCACUAUCACAAAUGAAAGUGCU